rnacentral:rRNA from 1 species
AGUGAACGCUGGCGGUAGGCCUAACACAUGCAAGUCGAACGGCAGCACAGUAAGAGCUUUCUCUUUUGGGUGGCGUCUGGCGGCCGGCUGAUGAGUACAACGGAAUCUACUUUUUCGUGGGGUAUAUCGUAGGUAAAGUUACUCUAUUACCUCAUCCGACCUACGGGUGAGUGCUGGCUAUCUUCGGACCUUGCGCGAUUGACUGUGCCGAUGUGCGAUUCGCUUGUUAGUGGGGUAAAGGCCCACCAAGGCGACGAUCCGUAGCUGGUCUGAGAGUAUGAUCGGAGACACUGGAACUGAGACACGGACCAGACCCGUACUGGUGGCAGCAGUAGGGAAUAGUGGUCUAAGGGCGUAAGCCUGAUCCAGCCGUACCGAGUGGGUGAAGAAGGCCGCGGGGUUGUAAUGCUCGUUUGUUGGGAAAGAAAAGCAGCAGGUUAAGACCCCACUGUUGUGACGGUACCCAAAGAAUAAGCACCGGCUAACUACGUG